AAAUCAUGUAAGUAUGUGUUUGUAAACAGUCGACUAUUCGACUGUUUACCAAAAACAUAGCCCUUGGAAAAUCUCAAAGGUGCCACCUGCCCUAUGGUAUAUUAAUUUUUGUAAAUAAAAUAAAAACCUAUACUAAAUGGCCGCGGUAACUCUGACCGUGAUAAUGUAGCGAAAUCAAUUGUCAUUUAAUUGAUGACCAGUAUGAAUGGUGACACGAAUCUUUCACUGUUUCAAAUACAGAUCUGUUAAAUUUGGUAUAAUAGUGCAGAAACUAUUAUUUAAUUGUAAGACGAAAAGACCCUAUAGAGCUUAACUAAAUUCUAAAAAUAACAUAAUAAAUUAAAAUUUAGUUAUAAUUUAGAAAGUUAGUUUGGUUGGGGCGACCUUCUUCUACUAAAAACGAAGAACAACAAAGCUUAUAAUUUUAAAAUAUGUUUAAUUGUUUAACAAAUAAGUUUAACAAAUACAAACGUAGGUAAAAAUGACCCGUUAAAUUUAUCCAAUAAAAUUAACGAUCAAGAAAUAAAAGCUACCUUAGGGAUAACAGCGUAAUCUUGUUUAAGMKUUCUUAUCGACAACAAGGUUUGCGACCUCGAUGUUGAAUUGUGAUAUCCAGGGGGUGCAGAAGCUCUCAAAGGUUGGUCUGUUCGACCAUUAAAAUCUUACAUGAUUUGAGUUCAUUCCG
rnacentral:rRNA from 1 species